AUACGUAGGGUGCAAGCGUUAAUCGGAAUUACUGGGCGUAAAGCGUGCGCAGGCGGUUUUGUAAGACAGUGGUGAAAUUCCCGGGCUCAACCUGGGAACUGCCAUUGUGACUGCAAGGCUGGAGUGCGGCAGAGGGGGAUGGAAUUCCGCGUGUAGAAGUGAAAUGCGUAGAUAUGCGGAGGAACACCGAUGGCGAAGGCAAUCCCCUGGGCCUGCACUUACGCGCAUGCACGAAAGCGUGGGGAGCAAACAGGAUUAGAUACCCUGGUAGUCCACGCCCUAAACGAUGUCAACUGGUUGUUGGGGAUUUAUUUUCUCAGUAACGAAGCUAACGCGUGAAGCUGACCGCCUGGGGAGUACGGCCGCAAGGUUAAAACUCAAAGGAAUUGACGGGG
rnacentral:rRNA from 1 species